GUAUCUUACCAAGCAAUCUCGGGCUUGGUUAGUACUUGGAUGGGUGACCGCUUGGGAAUACCAAGUGUGAUAAGCA
rnacentral:rRNA from 1 species